ACAUACGGCCACAGGGUGUGGAGAACAGGGCUUCCCGUCCGCUCAGCCGUACUUAAGCCACACGCCGGCAGGUUAGUAGUUGGGUGGGUGACCACCAGCGAAUCCCUGCUGUUGUAUGUU
rnacentral:rRNA from 1 species